ensembl:snoRNA
AUAAAAGGAAAAUCAUUUUUGUCAACAGCAGUUCACCUAGUAAGUGUUGAUGCUUUGGGUCUGAGUGA